rnacentral:lncRNA from 1 species
GGAGAACACAAGGGGUGGACUCACACCGGCUCUAACAACACAUCAGGUUUCAGCUUCUCGACCCAACGCUGCCAAGACAGGAGGUCCAGCGGUAUCCCAGAAUUCCCUGCAGACAUAUUUAAAUCCAGCUGUGAGCUGGAAAAGGAGAACGCUCAUUUCGUGGUGGUGGACUUGGUUCUGGAGGUGCUGGAAGGGGUUAAAUCUACCAAGAGCUUCAACAGGUGGUUUUCAAACAUGAACAGAAAAGCAAAUAAUAAAGAACGCUGUGGAAAAACACCCUGGAGUUCAGAGGAUACACUGAGAUGGAAGGGAGGUGGAGCUGAGAAACACAAAACCAGAGUCAGAGGAGGAGACUUCAGGACUACACACAGAAAAACACACAGUUCUGAAGGAUCUGGAAAACAGCUGCACAUACAGGAUGAAGAAAAGAGGAAAGAAGAAGAGGAAGAGUGGGAGCCAGGGACUAAUGAAGCUGAGCAUCAACCAAAAACAUUCUCCGUCCUCUCCAAUGACAGCGGAUUUGAAGAUUAUGCAGAUUCCAACCUGCUGACACACAGACAAGCUCCCAUAAGGUAA